rnacentral:rRNA from 2 species
CUGCCCGGUGCUCGAAGGUUAAUUGAUGGGGUUAGCAUUAGCGAAGCUCUUGAUCGAAGCCCGAGUAAACGGCGGCCGUAACUAUAACGGUCCUAAGGUAGCGAAAUUCCUUGUCGGUUAAAUACCGACCUGCAUGAAUGGCGUAACGAGAUGGGAGCUGUCUCAAAGAGGGAUCCAGUGAAAUUGUAGUGGAGGUGAAAAUUCCUCCUACCCGCGGCAAGACGGAGAGACCCCGUGGACCUUUACUACAGCUUGACACUGCUAUUUGGAUAAGAAUGUGCAGGAUAGGUGGGAGGCUUUGAGUAUAUGACGCCAGUUGUAUAUGAGCCAUUGUUGAGAUACCACUCUUUCUUAUUUGGGUAGCUAACCAGCUUGAGUUAUCCUCAAGUGGGACAAUGUCUGGUGGGUAGUUUGACUGGGGCGGUCGCCUCCCAAAUAAUAACGGAGGCUUACAAAGGUUGGCU